UUACUUGGCUCAUUGUGCUCUAGUGACUCCUUGUGGCGGGCCGGGCACCUGCAGGCUGACAUUAGAAGUCAGUUAAACGGUGUUUCCUCUGACACAUUGGUGCAUCUGGCCUCCGGGUUAAGUGGGUGGGUGUUAAGGAGCGUGGUUUGGCUGCUAAUGUUUCAGAGGACGCAUGACUCAACCUUUGCCUUUUUUUGUGAGAAAAAGGGGGGAAAACCAGAAUGUUUAUUUAUUAAUAGAUGGAUAGAUUGACAUAAUUAUUUAUAAAAUAUUUAUCCUCUUGGGGUUUCUAGGUUUGAUUUAUUGACAAUUGACACACUGAGUGGUUGUUAUUUUCCUGUGGAAGUUGAGUCUGUUAGAUGAGAAGAGGCUCUUUAUGGAGGUUGAGUCUGUUAGAUGAGAAGAGGUUCUUUAUGGAGGUUGAGUCUGUUAGAUGAGAAGAGGUUCUUUAUGGAGGUUGAGUCUGUUAGAUGAGAAGAGGUUCUUUAUGGACGUUGAGUCUGUUAGAUGAGAAGAGGUUCUUUAUGGAGGUUGAGUCUGUUAGAUGAGAAGAGGUUCUUUAUGGAGGUUGAGUCUGUUAGAUGAGAAGAGGUUCUUUAUGGAGGUUGAGUCUGUUAGAUGAGAAGAGUCCAAAGCGCUAUAAGUGGGGCAGGUCAUACUUGGAAGACAAUCCUAACAUCAACUGAAGUAAAAUUAGGGUCUCCAUAUAGCUGAGGUUCAGCAUUGUAGCACGCUUGAAAUGUGAAGGUAAUUUCAGAUUGAGCCGUCAUAAGUCACUUCAACGGUUAAAAGUUGGGUAAAAAUAAGUUGAUUCAACGUCAUCACGGUGAUUAUUUUGGUUGAAAUGAGGUGGAAACAAUGUUGAUACAACCAGUUUUGGCCCAGUGGAUGAAUGUUGUUUUAUGUGUAAUCAAAUCCAGGUUCUGUUUUGAAUAGCCUCCAACGUAAUACUGACCUUCUGUCGUACUGAAAGCAUCAUGCAUAAAGAAUAGGUAACUGGUUAUGGGCACCGAGGUAUUAUUAGUAUGUCCCAGUAGUGUCAUAGAGUUUAUAAUGAUGCUUUUUAUUGUUGUGUUUUCAAUGUCUUGAAGAAAGGUUUCUAGUCCUCAAAACAUUAUGGCAACAAGAUCCCUGAUUCUGAGUUGUAGCAGUUAGGAUACCUCCUUGUUCAACUUAUGCCUUAAACUAGAGAACUGGGAGGACCCCUCCAGCUCCUUAAUAAUGGUCUGUUCCCUGACUGAGGUCCUCUUAUGUGCCAUGGGGCUUGGUACAGUCCAAACCUGAGAUGGGUGUGCUGCAGUCUACUAUCUUCUGGUUAAUGUUGGUUUUGCACCAGAUCAGUGAAAUGAGGAUGUAGUUAUGAACUAAACUGUGUAAAAAAACAUUAGGAACAACUUCCUAAUAUUGAGUUGCACACCCUUUUCCCCCUCAAAACAGCUUCAAUUCGUCGAGGCACGGACUCUAAAGUUGUGGAAAGCGUUCCACAGGGAUGCUGGCCCAUGUUGACUCCAAUGCUUCCCACAGUUGUGUCAUGUUCGCUGGAUGUCCUUUGGGUGGUGGACCAUUCUUGAUACACAUGGGAAACUGUUGGGUGUGAAAAACCCAGAAGCGUUGCAGUUCUUGACACAAACCGGUGCCCCUGGCAGCUACUACCAUAUCCCCUUGAAAGGCACUUAAAUCAUUAGUCUUGCCUAUUUACCCUCUGAAUGGCACACAUACACAAUCCAUGUCUCAAUUGUCUCAAGGCUUAAAAAUCAUUCUUUAACCUCUCCUCCCCUUCAUCUACACUGACUGAAGUGGAUUUAUGAGGGAUCAUAGCUUUCACCUGGAUUCACCUGGUCAGAGCAGGUGUUCCUAAUGGUUUGUACACUCAGUUAUAUGUGAAAGAAAGAAUCCUGAAUAUCUUCUACCAUUUCCCCCUGUUUGACGGCAUCAGUGCAGAAGCAUUAGUAGUGAUAUGAAUAGGUGCCAUAAUGCACAUAUGACUAUUGCACUGUGAGUCGGUCUCAUAGCUGUGUCUGCUUCUGUGUGUGAUCUAAAUAUACUGCUGUGUAGUUCCCUGGUUAUCAGAUCUAUAGUGCUGGUUAUCAGAUCUAUAGUGCCCAUAUCGUUAGAGGGGAUUCUAUUUCAAUGAUAAUAUCACUAUAGUUCAUUCUAGAACCCAGGGGGAUAUUACAAAAGUCUAUUAUACUGUAUAAGCCAAUUAUACUGUAGGCGACAUAUUCUGGUGUCCCUGUGGACAUGUGUUGUCUUGUCAGUGCUAACGGUCAGUGUCUGUCUGUGUGUGUAGUGCCAAUGCUCUCUGCUGCGGAGCUGUCCUUGUGCAGAUGCUUUCUGGGAGGUUGGCAUGGAGACUUAUUCAUCAAACGUGCCAUAUAUUCCAAAGUCAUCUGCAUUCUGCAGUUUGUCCCAUGUAAUGUACUGUUGAAGUGCUCUACUUCCAACUGGAACUGUUUUGGGUGAGCGAUCUAUUUAGGAUCGCAAAAUGUCUAACUUUUCCAAAAUAACCAGGUUUUCCAGAAAUCUUGGUUGGAGGAUUCCCGGAUUUCUUGUUUAUUACUUUCGGAUUCCUUGACUCUUCCAACUAGUAUAUCAGGAGUUUGAGGAAAGUCACCAGAAUUUGGAGACCUGAGUUCUAUUUCAUUGUCAAUUACAAUGUGUAGUACCGGUGAGCACACUGUACUGCUUUAAACAUAAUCAGAAAAUGAUAUUUUUAGAUGACUGCCAACUCAUAGCUAACGCGUGAUGAUGUUCGUCGCAAUGAAAUAUGUUUCUAGUUUAGUUAUAUUUCUUACAUGUUAUGGAGGAUAGCUGGAUCUGUGUUGUUCUGGCUCUGGGAAUAACCUUUCCAUAAACUAGUCCUAGUCCUAUCCACAUUCUAGGGGCGGCAGGUAGCCUAGUGGUUAGAGCGUUGGACAAGUAACUGAAAGGUUGCAAGGUCAAAUCCCCGAGCUGACAAGGUAAAAAAAAGGCUGUCGUUCUGCCCCUGAACAAGGCAGUUAACUCACUGUUCCUAGGCCAUCAUUGAAAAUAAGAAUGUGUUCUUAACUGACUUGCCUAGUUAAAUAAAGAUAACAUGCUGUAUGGUGGAGCUGUGAGAUAUUCAGAAGUGUGUGUGUCAAAUGCAGGGGCCCCCAGGGGUGGUUAGCAGUGGAGGCUGGUGGGAGGAGCUAUAGGAAGACAGGCUCAUUGUAAUGGCUGGAAUGGAACCAUGUUUCACUCUGUUCCAUUGAUGUCAUUACAAUGAGCCUGUCCUCCUAUAGCUCCUCCCACCAGACUCCUCAGGUGGAAGUGACAUUAUGGCCUAGAUAAUAUAAUAUAUUAUAUUUUGAUAUUUUAUUUCUCCAAAUAUAUAUUAACAUCAGCAUUUGUUCACAUGCAUUUGUUCAUAUUCAAUCAUGGUUCCAUCGACAUAUAUUUUUUCCUCUGUGUGACUCUGAAAUAUAUCGUAUUAUAUACUUAAGAUAUUUAUUUCAAAUGAUUGUCUUGUCCUGUGUUCUCAAUCUAUUCUAAAAUAUAGCUAUAUCAAAGUAUUUAUGAAAUAUUUAAAGAAUAAA
ensembl:lncRNA